rnacentral:rRNA from 1 species
GACGAACGCUGGCGGCGUGCUUAACACAUGCAAGUCGAACGGAAAGGCCCUGCUUUUGUGGGGUGCUCGAGUGGCGAACGGGUGAGUAACACGUGAGUAACCUGCCCUUGACUUUGGGAUAACUUCAGGAAACUGGGGCUAAUACCGGAUAGGAGCUCCUGCUGCAUGGUGGGGGUUGGAAAGUUUCGGCGGUUGGGGAUGGACUCGCGGCUUAUCAGCUUGUUGGUGGGGUAGUGGCUUACCAAGGCUUUGACGGGUAGCCGGCCUGAGAGGGUAACCGGCCACAUUGGGACUGAGAUACGGCCCAGACUCCUACGGGAGGCAGCAGUGGGGAAUAUUGCACAAUGGGCGGAAGCCUGAUGCAGCAACGCCGCGUGCGGGAUGACGGCCUUCGGGUUGUAAACCGCUUUCGCGUGUGACGAAGCGUGAGUGACGGUAAUGGGUAAAGAAGCACCGGCUAACUACGUG